UGCGCAGGCGGGGAUGUAAGUCAGUGGUGAAAUACUGCCGCUCAACGGUAGAACUGCCAUUGAUACUGCAUCUCUUGAGUAUGGUUGAGGUAGGCGGAAUGUGUUGUGUAGCGGUGAAAUGCAUAGAUAUGACACAGAACGCCAAUUGCGAAGGCAGCUUACUAAACCAUUACUGACGCUGAGGCACGAAAGCGUGGGGAGCGAACAGGAUUAGAUACCAUGGUAGUCC
rnacentral:rRNA from 1 species